AACUCUGGUAUUGAUUGGUGCUUGCAUCAUGAUUUACAUUUGAGUGAGUGGCGAACUGGUGAGUAACACGUGGGAAACCUGCCCAGAAGCGGGGGAUAACACCUGGAAACAGAUGCUAAUACCGCAUAACAACUUGGACCGCAUGGUCCGAGUUUGAAAGAUGGCUUCGGCUAUCACUUUUGGAUGGUCCCGCGGCGUAUUAGCUAGAUGGUGGGGUAACGGCUCACCAUGGCAAUGAUACGUAGCCGACCUGAGAGGGUAAUCGGCCACAUUGGGACUGAGACACGGCCCAAACUCCUACGGGAGGCAGCAGUAGGGAAUCUUCCACAAUGGACGAAAGUCUGAUGGAGCAACGCCGCGUGAGUGAAGAAGGGUUUCGGCUCGUAAAACUCUGUUGUUAAAGAAGAACAUAUCUGAGAGUAACUGUUCAGGUAUUGACGGUAUUUAACCAGAAAGCCACGGCUAACUACGUGCCAGCAGCCGCGGUAAUACGUAGGUGGCAAGCGUUGUCCGGAUUUAUUGGGCGUAAAGCGAGCGCAGGCGGUUUUUUAAGUCUGAUGUGAAAGCCUUCGGCUCAACCGAAGAAGUGCAUCGGAAACUGGGAAACUUGAGUGCAGAAGAGGACAGUGGAACUCCAUGUGUAGCGGUGAAAUGCGUAGAUAUAUGGAAGAACACCAGUGGCGAAGGCGGCUGUCUGGUCUGUAACUGACGCUG
rnacentral:rRNA from 2 species